ACCAGGCUCCUACGGGAGGCAGCAGUGGGGAAUAUUGGGCAAUGGGCGCAAGCCUGACCCAGCAACGCCGCGUGAAGGAAGAAGGCUUUCGGGUUGUAAACUUCUUUUAUUCGGGACGAAGCAAGUGACGGUACCGAAUGAAUAAGCCACGGCUAACUGCGUGCCAGCGGCCGCGGUAAUACGUAGGUGGCGAGCGUUAUCCGGAUUUACUGGGUGUAAAGGGCGUGUAGGCGGGAGUGCAAGUCAGAUGUGAAAACUAUGGGCUCAACCCAUAGCCUGCAUUUGAAACUGUACUUCUUGAGUGCUGGAGAGGCAAUCGGAAUUCCGUGUGUAGCGGUGAAAUGCGUAGAUAUACGGAGGAACACCAGUGGCGAAGGCGGAUUGCUGGACAGUAACUGACGCUGAGGCGCGAAAGCGUGGGGAGCAAACAGGAUUAGAUACCCCCGUAAAA
rnacentral:rRNA from 1 species